UACUGAAAAUGAAGACAGGAAUCAGAACGUGCUGUGAGCUACUUUGCAUGUGAGCUACCUGUUUAUUUUGCUGUAGUGAGGAGCUUAUUUUGGAGCACGUAUUGGUUCAU
ensembl:miRNA gga-mir-6585 gga-mir-6585